GCCUUAUCAGGAGAGGUGGAGGGAUACGGCCCGAUGAAGCCCGGCAGCCUGCGUUCACCGCGCAAGGUGCCAAUUCCGGCGGAGCGAUCUGCGAGAUAAGGA
rnacentral:ncRNA from 2 species